GUUAUCCUCGCUCCGAUACGUGUAGUGUGUGUGAUAAACACAUAGUUAAAAUGAAGUCACUACAAGAGAAACUAAAGAACACUAUCGAAAACGAGGCACAGUUGGAAUUACAAAAUGAAUUUAAAGGUUUGGAAAAUGAAAAUAGAUUGCAUAAACUUAAAGCAGCUACUUUCUAUACUAGAAAGCGACACGCUAAAAUACAGUCCAGAAAAAAUGAGUCAAUUGAAGCUAUAACCAUGGACUUUUCCAAAAAUCUUCCUACAACCAACAUCACUACCAAUGAUGUAUACUACAAAAGGCAAUUGACCUGUCAGUUUUAAUAUUCAUAAGCUCUCAACCAAUGAGGCUGUUUUUUAUACAUACCCUGAGAUUAUUGCCAAGAAAGGUGCUGAUGAAGUCGCGUCUUUAUUACAUGAUUUUUGCCAUAAUAUUCUAGGACAAACUGUUAGAUGUUUGGAAAUAUUGUGCGACUCAUGCGCAGGCCAAAGUAAGAAUUACACCAUUAUACACCUCUUACAUCAUAUGGUCCAUAAAGAAGGUAGGUUUGAUAAAAUCAAAAUUACAUUUCCGAUUCGGGAGCACUCGUACUUAGAGUGCGAUAAAGACUUUGCUCUUAUCAAACAGAAAACAAGAGUUGAAGUUCCAUCCCAAUGGGUCGAGGUUUUUAAAAGUGCUAGGGUUAAACCAAUGCCACUUAAUGUUAUUGAGUGUACUACAGACAUGUUCCAUGCAUGGACAAAAUUUUAAACCCCUCAAUAUAAAAAAACCUGUCCAUUUCCAACAAGGCUAAUAAAAGAACUAAUAAUAAGCCAUCAACAAAUGACGAAUAAUUCAAAUGCGAGAAAGUUACAAUGGAGCUAUGUCAAGUUUUGUUCUAAUACCCCUAAGGCCAGGCAUAGCGGCUGCAACACCGGACAAUGGCCUCAAACCUAUUCCCAAGUUGAAGUAUGACCAACUGCAGGAACUUAAGAAGUUUGUAGAUAAAACGUCACAAAUCUACCACACUAAUUUGCCUUAUCAUAUAUGCCUAAUAAUAGGACUGUAGAUGAUGCAGAUAUUCAAAAGUAACUAUCAAUACCAAUGUCUAUUAUAAUGUCCGUGCCAAACAUAACGUGCUACUUUGGAAUGAAGCGGCGUUCAAACCUAAUUCUUGUGGAAUUGGAUCGUUUCUCGGUACACCGAAGAGAAGGAAUCUUCAAUUAUUUUUUUUUCCAAAAUUCUGUUUAUUUUUUUAUGAUUUUUAGUAGUCCCUAAGUAUUGCCCAUGUUAAUGACUUCUAAU